rnacentral:tRNA from 4 species
GGCUUUAUAGUCAAUAAUGAUAUUAGACUGCAAUUCUAAAGGAGUAAUAAUUUACUAAGGCUU